UUGAACGCUAGCAAUAUGCUUAACACAUGCAAGUCGAACGGUAGCAGAUCAUUUACGUGAUGCUGACGAGUGGCGAACGGGUGAGUAAUGCGUAGAAAUUUACCUAAUUGAGUGGGAUAGUUUGUGGAGACACUUAAUAAUACCACAUAAUUUUUUUUAAAGAAAGCAAAGGAUCUUUUGACUUUGCGCAUUUAGAUAAGUCUACGUCGGAUUAGUUUGUUGGUGAGGUAAAUGCUUACCAAGACGAUGAUCCGUAGCUGGUCUGAGAGGAUGAUCAGCCACACUGGGACUGAAACACGGCCCAGACUUUUACGAAAGGCAGCAGUGGGGAAUUUUAGACAAUGGGCGAAAGCCUGAUCUAGCAAUAUUGCGUGUGCGAUGAAGGCCUGUGGGUUGUAAAGCACUUUCAGUAAGGAAAAAUCUUUUUAUACUAAUAAUAUAAUUUGUUGAUGAAUUACAAAAGAAGCACCGGCUAACUCUGU
rnacentral:rRNA from 1 species